AACGCGUGGGAAUCUGCCCUUGGGUACGGAAUAACUCAGAGAAAUUUGUGCUAAUACCGUAUAAUGUCUUCGGACCAAAGAUUUAUCGCCCAAGGAUGAGCCCGCGUAAGAUUAGCUAGUUGGUGGGGUAAAGGCCCACCAAGGCUACGAUCUUUAGCUGGUCUGAGAGGAUGAUCAGCCACACUGGGACUGAGACACGGCCCAGACUCCUACGGGAGGCAGCAGUGGGGAAUAUUGGACAAUGGGCGAAAGCCUGAUCCAGCAAUGCCGCGUGAGUGAUGAAGGCCUUAGGGUUGUAAAGCUCUUUUACCAGGGAUGAUAAUGACAGUACCUGGAGAAUAAGCUCCGGCUAACUCCGUGCCAGCAGCCGCGGUAAUACGGAGGGAGCUAGCGUUGUUCGGAAUUACUGGGCGUAAAGCGCGCGUAGGCGGUUUUUUAAGUCAGAGGUGAAAGCCCAGUGCUCAACACUGGAACUGCCUUUGAAACUGGAAAACUUGAAUCUUGGAGAGGUCAGUGGAAUUCCGAGUGUAGAGGUGAAAUUCGUAGAUAUUCGGAAG
rnacentral:rRNA from 1 species